rnacentral:rRNA from 1 species
UCCGUAGGGGAACCUGCGGAGGGAUCAUUACUGAGU